UACGGGGGGGAGCAAGCGUUGUUCGGAUUUACUGGGCGUAAAGGGCGCGUAGGCGGUCGUGACAAGUCACUUGUGAAAUCUCCGGGCUUAACUCGGAAAGGUCAAGUGAUACUGUCGGACUAGAGUACAGAAGGGGCAACUGGAAUUCUCGGUGUAGCGGUGAAAUGCGUAGGAUAUCGAGAGGAACACCUGCGGCGAAGGCGGGUUGCUGGGACGGUACUGACGCUGGAGGCGCGAAAGCGUGGGGAGCGAACAGG
rnacentral:rRNA from 1 species